GAUGAACGCUAGCGGGAGGCCUAACACAUGCAAGUCGAACGGGAUUGGUAGCAAUACCAUGAGAGUGGCGCACGGGUGAGUAACGCGUAUGCAACCUACCUUUAACUGAGGGAUAGCCCAUAGAAAUGUGGAUUAAUACCUCAUAGUUCUUUAGUUCCGCAUGGGAUUGAAGAUAAAGCUCCGGCGGUUAAAGAUGGGCAUGCGUGACAUUAGCUAGUUGGUGAGGUAACGGCUCACCAAGGCUACGAUGUCUAGGGGUUCUGAGAGGAUGAUCCCCCA
rnacentral:rRNA from 1 species